GGGGAAUUUUCCGCAAUGGGCGCAAGCCUGACGGAGCAAUACCGCGUGAGGGAAGAAGGCUUUUGGGUUGUAAACCUCUUUUCUCAGGGAAGAAGCAAUGACGGUACCUGAGGAAUCAGCAUCGGCUAACUCCGUGCCAGCAGCCGCGGUAAUACGGAGGAUGCAAGCGUUAUCCGGAAUUAUUGGGCGUAAAGCGUCCGCAGGUGGCUAGUCAAGUCUGCGGUCAAAGACAGAAGCUAAACUUCUGGAAGGCCGUGGAAACGGGCAAGCUAGGGUACGGUAGGGGUAGAGGGAAUUCCCAGUGUAGCGGUGAAAUGCGUAGAGAUUGGGAAGAACACCAGUGGCGAAAGCGCUCUACUGGGCCUGUACUGACACUGAGGGACGAAAGCUAGGGGAGCGAAAGGGAUUAGAUACCCCUGUAGUC
rnacentral:rRNA from 1 species